UUUUCUACGGUGGCCCAGACGCGACAGCACAAAAACAGUUUUUGUAUUUUUUGAUUUUUUGAUUUUUUGAUUUUUUGAUUUUUUGAUUUUUUGAUUUUUUGAUUUUUUGAUUUUUGUAUUUUUUGAUUUUUUGAUUUUUGNNNNNNNNNNNNNNNNNNNNUAAUACAUCUAAAAAUCUCAAAAAAUUAAGAAAAUUGUCGGCAAAAAAUAAACGAUUUUAUGUCCGCAAAUUUUUUCCGGCACCAAAUUUCCGGCGCCAAUUUUCCGGCGCCAUAUGUCGUGGACAUUUUUUGAUCAAGAUUAUACGUAUAGUGUAAUUUACAGCAUGAGUUCCACAUUUGAAUUUUAUUAUACCAGUAAAUUGUUAAACGCGUCCGAAUUUAUCAACAUGAUAAAUGCCAAAUUCGCGGCACCUAACCCUUAACCUUAAUUUUGUGUUACACAGCUUCGAUCAUGUUAUAUAUAUACCCAUUAUCAGUAACCUUGCCCGCUCAUUCAAGUGCUACAGUAUGUAUAUCUAUGCUGAAAAAAAAAAUCAAUCCAAAAAUCAAAAAAUACAAAAAUCAAAAAAUACAAAAAUCAAAAAAUACAAAAAUCAAAAAUCAAAAAAUCAAAAAAUACAAAAAUCAAAAAAUCAAAAAAUACAAAAAUCAAAAAAUCAAAAAAUCAAAAAAUCAAAAAAUACAAAAAUCAAAAAAUCAAAAAAUACAAAAACUGUUUUUGUGCUGUCGCGUCUGGGCCACCGUAGU
rnacentral:lncRNA from 1 species